AACGAACGCUGGCGGCAUGCCUAACACAUGCAAGUCGAACGAGACCUUCGGGUCUAGUGGCGCACGGGUGCGUAACGCGUGGGAACCUGCCCUUAGGUUCGGAAUAACUCCCCGAAAGGGGUGCUAAUACCGGAUAAUGUCUUCGGACCAAAGAUUUAUCGCCUUUGGAUGGGCCCGCGUUGGAUUAGCUAGUUGGUAGGGUAAAAGUCUACCAAGGCGACGAUCCAUAGCUGGUCUGAGAGGAUGAUCAGCCACACUGGGACUGAGACACGGCCCAGACUCCUACGGGAAGCAGCAGUGGGGAAUAUUGGACAAUGGGCGAAAGCCUGAUCCAGCAAUGCCGCGUGAGUGAUGAAGGCCUUAGGGUUGUAAAGCUCUUUUACCCGGGAUGAUAAUGACAGUACCGGGAGAAUAAGCUCCGGCUAACUCCGUG
rnacentral:rRNA from 1 species